rnacentral:lncRNA from 1 species
UUAAUGUCAGCUGGGAUCACACUGAAAGUAAAAUAAUGUUUUUUACACAAAAAGAAACAUUUGGUGUCAUAACUUUAUAUUUAAACAUAACUAUUAUUGUUUAAAUAUAAAAAUACAACACUCAGCGUAAAUUUAGACAUGUUUCUUGGAGCUGUUGAAACAUUGUGUGAAAUGUUAAAAUACUAAAAUGCUUUUCUUAUUCUCAUCUGUUGUUGAACUACUUUUAGUCUAACACUAUAACUAAAUAAAGAUUUGGUUAGAUGUAAUUGGGGAAUUAGUUUUCUCCAUAGGUUAUCUCAGCCGUCAUUCUAUUCUGUUGCAGACACAGACUCAGAUUCAUGUUGUCUUUUUCUGAAGCUGACUCUGGGGGACUAUAGUUGUUUGCCCUGUAAUGUAAAAAACAAACAAACAAACAAAACCCAGCAAAAGCUGUGUCUGCAGUGAAUGGCUUUUAUUUAUUUAUUUUAAAUAUUUAAUUCUAAUACUUCAGUUCACAACAGCACAAGCUCACAGUGGCUCAUAGACCAUUUAUACCUCAUAUUUUGUACACUGUGAAUACACUACCCCUGCUGUACCCUGCUUUACACUGCUGCCCCUGCUGUACCCUGCUUUACACUGCUGCCCCUGUGACUUCGACCCAGAUAACUGUCAAAACAUGGAUAAAUGUUAUUUUCAUUCAUUCUAUUCAUUUUUUAAAAAUCUUUUAAAUUGAAUUAUACAAAUUGUGUUCAAUAAAAUGCUCUUACUUGUAUUUCCAUCCAGUACUGAAGCAUUGACAGUUAGAGCCCUGGCAGCUGGAUCACUGACAGCUGGAUCACUGACAGCUGAAGCACUGACAGAUGGAUCACUGACAGCUGAAGCACUGACAGCUGAAGCACUGACAGAUGGAUCACUGACAGCUGGAUCACUGACAGCUGAAGCACUGACAGCUGAAGCACUGACAGAUGGAUCACUGACAGCUGGAUCACUGACAGCUGAAGCACUGACAGCUGAAGCACUGACAGAUGGAGCUGUUGAAAUAUUGAGAGAAAUAUCAAGAGGAAGACUUCCUCACGCAGAACCAGGAAGCUAUUGAUGAAGAAGCUCUCAGCAGGUGGACCUUUCAUGAAAACAACAACAGCUGGAAGCUGCAGAUCUCAGACUGAAUAGAAACUAUUUAUAACAUCAUGACAAUAAACCAGAUUUGAAGUUUUCAGUUUGAUGCUGUUCAGUAAGUUGGUGCCAAAAACUAACAGAGGGGGAAAAAAACAACAACAUAACCAAAAGAGAAAAGAUUUGAAUUCAGGGCUUCAGUCCAAUAUUGAUUUCCUUCAACUCAUUUGAACUAUAAAUAUCAUGAGAUAUUAAAAUAAAAACAGAAGGAUUUUAAUUACAGGUAAAGGCAAAACAGUAUUAACAGGAUGGAGCUUCAUGUCUUGUUUAAUAAACUCUUGUUAUCAUUUUCAUUCAC